rnacentral:rRNA from 1 species
UACAGAGGGGGCAAGCGUUAUUCGGAAUUAUUGGGCGUAAAGGGCGCGUAGGCGGCGAUUCAAGUGGCGGGUGAAAUCCCUCGGCUUAACCGAGGAACUGCCUGUCAGACUGUAAGGCUUGAGACCGGGAGAGGUGAGUGGAAUUCCCAGUGUAGCGGUGAAAUGCGUAGAUAUUGGGAGGAACACCAGUGGCGAAGGCGGCUCACUGGACCGGAACUGACGCUGAGGCGCGAAAGCGUGGGGAGCAAACAGG